UCUCCAGUCUGGCUAUCCGUUGACGAAACCACUGAUUCUUGCAGUCGUUAUAUGGUGCACGUCAUAGUUGGAAAACUCUCUGCUGACGAGACUGGAUGAGGACACCUCAUACUGUGCAAAGAAGUGAAAUGAACAACACACGCCACGAUUGCACGCACAGUCUAAGUUUCGCCAAUAUUGAAUAGUUUAAAAUAAAUUACAGGCGUGCUGUGGAGAAGUGAAGAUCAGAAACGUGGGGAGAACAAGGUUUUGGCCAUUUUUACGGAUAGUGCCACAUAUAUGAUGAAGGUUGUAGAGUGUCUCUGGGUGUCAUUCUUCACCUCACGUGUCGCUGAAGAGGUCAGAGCCGCAUUGCCAGAGGUCAGCUGCCUUAUAUCUUCGGCAAUGAAGGUUUUCAUCACGCCACCAAGUAAAGUGAGAACUUUCAAGACUGCUCACUCUGCCACCUGAACCAGUCUUGACGAGGUCCUAAAGGGUUUUGAAGGUAGCGAAAAUUGAGCCAUACCAAAAUCCAAGGGCGCCUUGAAGAAUUCCAGCAUGUUACACAGCCUAUCUUUCACCCGAGUGCACUUGGGUGACCUUCCAGACCUAAGUGAGAAACUUGAGGCUCGUAACAUGGAAGUUACGAAGGCAGUGGCUCUCGACGGAGGACUCAGGACACAGAGCAAGAAUUGGCCAGGCCCGAUCGCUGAGAGAUUUAGAAGAAAAUUGGAUGCAGUUCUCCACAGAAACCCUGGUUGACCUACGAUUCGGAAGAAGGCUCAGUUUCUCGGAGCAUUUCUGUUCUUCCAGUAUCUAGAUGAUUUCACGUCGUCUAAUGUCGCUGCUCUUAAAUUUUUACCUGUAGUGUCAUGUGAUGUUGAA